rnacentral:rRNA from 1 species
UACGGAGAGUGCAAACGUUGUUCGGAUUCACUGGGCGUAAAGGGCACGUAGGCGGCUUGGCAACUCGGUCGUGGAAUCCCGACGCUUACCGUCGGAACGGCGGCCGAAAAUACCGAGCUCGAGGGCGUGAGGGGUCACUGGAACUCCUGGUGAAGCGGUGAAAUCCGUAGAUCUACGAAGGAACGCCAAAAGCGAAGGCAGCUCUCUGGGUCCCUACCGACGCUGGGGUGCGAAAGCAUGGGGAGCGAACAGG